UGGCCCCUACGGGACGCAGCAGUGGGGAAUAUUGCGCAAUGGGCGAAAGCCUGACGCAGCGACGCCGCGUGAGGGAUGAAGGGCUUCGGAUCGUAAACCUCUGUCAGCAGGGAAGAACGGUCACUGUGCUAAUCAGCAGUGAAUUGACGGUACCUGCAAAGGAAGCACCGGCUAACUCCGCGCCAGCAGCCGGGUAAUACGGAGGGGGCGUGCGUUAAUCGGAAUUACUGG
rnacentral:rRNA from 1 species